UACAAUAAGGGUGAAAUGUAUUCAAUUUGUCAUAAAAAGUCUGAUGGGUCAUUUGUCAACGACGAAGCCAAGGAAAAAUAUGAACAAUUGCAAGCUGAAAUUGGGAAGACUCCUUCUCCAAAUGAAGCAUUUGUUAAUGUGUUUG